CAGCCUUCCUGUCACUCUGCCCCAAGCCUGCAGUGCUGCAUGGGGUUGUUGUGACCAAAGUGCAGGACCCAGCACUUGGUCUUGCUGAACUUCAUUCCACUGGCCUCAGCCCAGCAAUCAGCCUAUCCAGAUCCCUCUGUAGAACCUUCCUACCCCUAUCAACACUUCCCCCCAACUUGGUGUCAUCUCCAAACUUGCCAUAGGGAGUGGGUCACAAAGGAGAGGUAGCACAGCCUGAUGGUAAAAGCCUUGUAUGAGACAUUCGUGAUACUGCAGUAUUGCCAGCACCUAACAUUUGCUAUGGCAUACAGCUAGAAAUGCAAUGCUGUGGCAUCCUUGUUUCACUGUUACUGUAUAAUCCAUGCAUUAUAUUGCAGGGUCACAGGAAUCAGGAUUCAAAAUCUGUUAAAGCUCAUGAGCAGUCAUCCUUGGGAUCCUCAUCUGCCGCCUGAAGGUUACUCUUGCACUGCUCUGUCUCCACUGCAAGAUUCAAGAACAUACUGUCUCACUUGUUCUGAUUCUGGCCUGGGUUGGUUUGUGCAAAUAUUAACGUUGGCUUUUCCCUUCCUCAGCCUGCCUCCUCAUAUGUUCAAGAUGCUGGAAGUGAUGUGAGAACUGUGUUGCAGCCCAUCAAAACACUGUCUUCUUGGUAAGAAUGCUGAAUGCCUUGCACUGUGCCAUGAAUGCAUACUGGGAGCUCCAGAGCGUGCCAAGCCUCCUGGAGCAGUGGAAGGUAAGGAAACCAGAAUGAUGCUUUCUUGCCUACAUUACCAAAUAGGUCCUGGAACUUGAUUUUCUCAGAGCUGCAUCUGGGUGUUGCCCUGCAGACUGCUCAUUGGCACAGGUCAAAAUGGUGCUUGAGAGACAGCCAACAGUGGCAUGUUGCUGACUGUAGUCACCAGUGUUUGAGCCCCUGCACUUAGCCUGCUGUAUUUUUCAGUACGGACACAGCCUGUGAGACUGCAAGAGAAUUCCUUAAGGCUGGACUUGUGUUGUGUCUUGGGGUAACUUUGAGGUUUAUGAGAUAAAGCCAGAUGCUGGGUAUCUGUGUGGCAUCCUGCAGUGGCAUGCAAAGAUGCUUGCCCACUGUUCAGUGUGAGGUAGCCAAAUUAGAAUAUCAUUCCACUUGCAUUAUUUUUCUUCAGGGCUGAGUGACACAGCUAUACUGAGCUAGCCAAUAUAUUGCACUUGGGAAGGAUGCGUGAUGUUGCAUAAAAAUUCCUCUCGUUAGUCAGUACCUUGCUACAUUUUUCUUCUGUACUUUCUGAAAAUUUGUAUUCUCGGCUGCAGCCUUCCUAAUGAGUCACCUUAUCCCCAUCCCCCUCCAGCCAUGCUUUUCACUAGGCUGUUCUGCUUUUCA
rnacentral:lncRNA from 1 species